rnacentral:rRNA from 1 species
UACGGAGGGUGCAAGCGUUAUCCGGAUUCACUGGGGUUAAAGGGUGCGUAGGCGGCCCGUUAAGUCAGUGGUGAAAGCCUCCAGCUCAACUGGAGAACUGCCAUUGAUACUGACGGGCUUGAGUACAGACGAGGUUGGCGGAAUUGAUUGUGUAGCGGUGAAAUGCAUAGAUACAAUCAAGAACUCCGAUUGCGUAGGCAGCUAACUAGGCUGUAACUGACGCUGAGGCACGAAAGCGUGGGGAGCGAACAGG